UAGGGAAUCUUCCGCAAUGGACGCAAGUCUGACGGAGCAACGCCGCGUGAGUGAAGAAGGAUUUCGGUUCGUAAAACUCUGUUGUUAGAGAAGAACAGCGCAUAGAGUAACUGUUAUGCGUGUGACGGUAUCUAACCAGAAAGCCACGGCUAACUACGUGCCAGCAGCCGCGGUAAUACGUAGGUGGAAAGCGUUGUCCGGAUUUAUUGGGCGUAAAGCGAGCGCAGGCGGUCAAUUAAGUCUGAUGUGAAAGCCCCCGGCUCAACCGGGGAGGGUCAUUGGAAACUGGUUGACUUGAGUGCAGAAGAGGGGAGUGGAAUUCCAUGUGUAGCGGUGAAAUGCGUAGAUAUAUGGAGGAACACCAGUGGCGAAGGCGACUCUCUGGUCUGUAACUGACGCUGGGGCUCGAAAGCGUGGGUAGCAAACAGG
rnacentral:rRNA from 1 species